CGUCCUUCCCCCUCAUAACUCAAGGAGCAGGAAGGCAAAAGCAACGUUCCCUCAAAGCUCAGGCCCAAGUGAUUCCCACAAAACACCCAAGACCUUUUUUUUUUUUUUCUUUUUGGAUGAUGGGUGUGUGAAUGGUGUGAAUGGUGAAUUCUUCAUGAAUAAAGCUCUUGAAAAAUGUGGCAUGGGCGACAUCACGAAUGCUCUAGUUCAUAGCUGCCCACUCUUGACACUAUGUCACAAUUUCACCAUAUGUUUCAAACCUGGACCAAUUGUCAAAUGGGCUGCACUGUGGGGCUGGCCCGAUCCUGCUAGUCCUUCCCAGAGACCUCACCUCUCCGGAGGCCCCUGGUCUUUAGAGCAAAGCACAGUUGACCCCACAAUCCCUGCUGUGCAGAAGGGGUGUGCUCUGGACUCAGGUGGUCUCCAGACCAACCUCCCCUCCCCCAGCCCUGUGUGCUGUCCCCUGUCAGUGUUUGUGGACAUGAGCACUGUGUAGCUGUGUCUGUUCUGUGCUGGUCUGUUGACUUCUAUGACUACCCACAAAUAAAUAUUUUCACUGC
rnacentral:lncRNA from 1 species